rnacentral:snRNA from 1 species
GUGCUCACUUCGGCAGCUCAUAUCCUAAAAUUGGAAUGAUACAGAGAAGAUUAGCAUGGCCCCUGCGCAAGGAUGACACACAAAUUUAUGAAGCAUUACACAGAUUA